GUCGGAGUGGCGGAACCUGGUAGACGCGCAUGGUUGAGGGCCAUGUGGGCGCAAGCCCGUGGGGGUUCAAAUCCCCCCUCCGACA
rnacentral:tRNA from 1 species